AGGGUUUGAUUCUGGCUCAGGACGAACGCUGGCGGCGUGCUUAACACAUGCAAGUCGAACGGAGAACUUUCUUCGGAAUGUUCUUAGUGGCGAACGGGUGAGUAACGCGUAGGCAACCUGCCCUCUGGUUGGGGACAACAUUCCGAAAGGGAUGCUAAUACCGAAUGUGAUCCUUCUUUCGCAUGAAGGAAGGAUGAAAGAUGGCCUCUACUUGUAAGCUAUCGCCAGAAGAUGGGCCUGCGUCUGAUUAGCUAGUAGGUGGGGUAACGGCUCACCUAGGCGAUGAUCAGUAGCCGGUCUGAGAGGAUGAACGGCCACAUUGGGACUGAGACACGGCCCAA
rnacentral:rRNA from 1 species